rnacentral:rRNA from 1 species
UACAGAGGGGGCAAGCGUUAUUCGGAAUUAUUGGGCGUAAAGGGCGCGUAGGCGGCUAUUCAAGUGGCGGGUGAAAUCCCUCGGCUUAACCGAGGAACUGCCUGCCAGACUGGAUGGCUUGAGACCGGGAGAGGUGAGUGGAAUUCCCAGUGUAGCGGUGAAAUGCGUAGAUAUUGGGAGGAACACCGGUGGCGAAGGCGGCCCUCUGGACCGGUACUGACGCUGAUGCGCGAAAGCGUGGGGAGCAAACGGG